rnacentral:lncRNA from 1 species
AAAAAUUCUUAAGAACUCUCCCUUAGCCUUCUAUUCAUCCCAGCCUUGUACUUCCAGUCUUACUGUAAACUUUCUCCUGUUUAUCUUGGAAUAAUGAUAAUGUUUUAAGUAAGUUUUCAUCUUUGAUAUUUUGUACUCUGAUAUUGUAUUAAUUUUAUCAUAUUUCAUUUUUAUCUUGGUCCUGUUCCCCUUUUGGUAUCAGAGCCAUGAAGGCCUCAACUGGGUCAAGUUAAGAGGAACGAAAGGUCUGACCGUAUUGGCCUGCCUUUCAGGACGAACAUUUUUGAAAGGUGAAUUAGGUCUUGAGGGCUUCAUGACCCUGCAGGAAUUCACGGGUUAAGAAAUUAGGAAGGGAGUUAUUUUCUCCUUUAAUAUAUUCAAUUUUAAAAUCAAAGCUAGAUAGUAGAGCUUGCCAUCUAGCAAAUUUUUGUUUUGAAACCAAAUUCGUAACGUCCUUAAAUAAAUUUCUUUCGCAGAUUUGCAAUCUACACGAAGUAAAAAAGGUUUGUUAACCAAAUCAUCUUGAAACUUUGUGAUACAUAGCACUAUAGAUAAAACUUCUUUUUUAACAGUGCUAUUAUUUCUUUCGCAGAUUUGCAAUCUACACGAAGUAAAAAAGGUUUGUUAACCAAAUCAUCUUGAAACUUUGUGAUACAUAGCACUAUAGAUAAAACUUCCUUUUUUAUAGUGCUAUAAUUUCUUUGAGUAGAGUUCCAGACUCCAGAAGUAAAUCUAACUAAUUGUUCACCUUUUUCAGGACUAAUACAUUGCUUAAGAAUACCACCAUAACCAUGGUCAGAAGCAUCAGUUUCAACAAUCAUGAAAGCUUCUGGGUUAGGGAUACCAAGACAAGGAAGAUUUUUAACUAUCUUUUUAAUUUUU